AUGAUCCUGAUCCCGAAAUCAUCCCGGCCCCAAAAGGAUCCUGAUCCUAAAACCAUCCUCCCUCCAUCUCUGCCAGCUGUGCCCAACAUCCAAAAGCCACCGCUGCCGUCCCGGGGCUUGGGGCCGAGCAGGCUCGGGCACAUCCAGGAACCCCCAGAGCUCCCGCUGCCCGCGGCUGAUGGCGGCAAAGGAAAGGAAAGGGAAGGGAACGGAAUGUUCUUGGAUGCUCCCGGUGCCCGGUGCCCCUCCCGGGAACAGCCCCGCGCAGCGCUCAGGGCACAGCGGGACGAGCCCGGUGAGCCCCGGGGGACAGCGGGACAGAGGGACAGCGGGGACAGAGGGACAGCGGGGACAGAGGGGACAGAGGGACAGAGGGACAGAGGGACAGAGGGACAGGGGGACAGCGCGUCCUUGGCUAAGGACGUUUCACAGCCCGCAGGAAAUUCCCACUUCCCCGGUGCGGGGAAAGCCGCUCCAGCCGCCGCUCCCGCUCCUCCCCCAGGUGCACAGGGGAGCCCCCAGGGCUGGGCCGGGCCUUCCUGAGCCCGUCCUGAGCCCGUGCUAAGCCCGGGCUUAGGGAAGUGAUG
rnacentral:lncRNA from 12 species